GCAACAGUGGGCUCAGGCAUAACAACGAUUGUUUACAAUGGACAUCCCACCUCUCAGUAAAUCCAGCUAGUCUUUCCCUCCUCAUCCCUCCCUACACAGAAAAAGUUUCUUCAAAAAUGGAUGGGGUGUGUUCAGAGGCUAAUGAA